CUGCUUUGGCAGCAUAUGUACUAAAAUUGGAACAAUACAGAGGAGAUUAGCACGGCCCCUGCACAAGGAUGACACGCAAAUUUGUGAAACAUUCUAUAUUUAA